rnacentral:rRNA from 1 species
CCCAGUCGACUAUGGUUGGCUGCUGGCUUCUUAGAGGGACUAUUGGCGUUUAGCCAAUGGAAGUUUGAGGCAAUAACAGGUCUGUGAUGCCCUUAGAUGUUCUGGGCCGCACGCGCGCUACACUGACGGAGCCAACGAGUCUUUUCCUUGUCCGGAAGGACUG